CGUGUAGGCGGCUUGAUAAGUCAGAUGUGAAAGCCCCGGGCUUAACCCGGGAAGUGCAUUUGAAACUGUCUUGCUUGAGUAGGGGAGAGGGAAGUGGAAUUCCUGGUGUAGAGGUGAAAUUCGUAGAUAUCAGGAGGAACACCGGUGGCGAAGGCGACUUCCUGGCCCUAUACUGACGCUGAGACGCGAGAGCGUGGGUAGCAAACAG
rnacentral:rRNA from 1 species